GCCGGACGCGGUGGCUCACGUCUGUAAUCCCAGUACUUUGGGAGGCCGAGGCGGGUGGAUCACCUGAGGUCAGGAGUUCAAGACCAGCCUGGCCAACAUGGUGAAACCCCGUCUCUA
rfam:Homo sapiens chromosome 1, GRCh38 reference primary assembly.